rnacentral:lncRNA from 1 species
AAAGUUCAGGAUGGUACUCUCCAGGUUAACUUCGUUCCAUCAGCUAAUCAGAUUGCGGAUGUGCUUACAAAACCUAUCACUCCCAAGCUGUUUGCGGAUUUUCGACGUACACUUAGAGUUACAACUGAAAAAGAUCAAAAGCUUACAAGACCAGGAGAAUGUUAGAGUAUUAGUUAAAGAAAGUCAGUUAGCUAGAGUUAGUUGCUAACAGUUAGUCUGUUAAGAAAGUUACUCCUUAUCUCUAUAAAUACAUGUACUAUCUCUUC